rnacentral:lncRNA from 1 species
GGCAAAAGUCCCCUCUCUUGGGAUGUGGAGGAUUAGUUAAUUCCUGCAAUCCUUCCCUACUCUGAUGAGAGGGAUGGAAAGAGAGUAAUACUGGAAGCAUUUCUGGUAGAAAGCUGAUGGCAUAGACAUGAAUUGGUGAAUUUUUUAGUUGUUUCAUUGCUCUGGAUCACUCUUCCCUAUGCACCUGUCUCUCUCCAGGGUGACCGUGGCUCAGUGGGACCCCCAGGCCCUCCAGGAGUCAAGGGGUCGAUGGUAAGGAGGGCACCCUGGGAUGCCAGGAGGAGUGGGUUUUCCUGGGAUCCCUGGACCAACAGGUCCGGCAGGAGCCCGUGGUGCACCAGGGGUCCGAGGGAUGAAAGGCCGCAGGGGUGCCAGAGGGCCUGAUGGACCCGUAGGCGAGCCAGGGUCGCGAGGUGUCAAGGUGAGUGCCAAGGCUGCUCUCAGCUGUGUUCUGAAAUGCUCAAGGUCACAUCCAGGAACAGGGAUGUUCGAUUGCUCCACGAGGAUCAACCAGCAGGGAUGAGUUUGUCUUGCAACCAGAGUAAAAUCUACCCAGCACUGGUAUCAGGGCCCUUGCCCACACUCCCAGCUGGCUGGGGUGUUCCUUGGCGC